AACGUAGGUUCCGAGCGUUAUCCGGAUUUACUGGGCGUAAAGCGCGUUCAGGCGGUUUGGCAAGUCGGGCAUGAAAUCUCUCGGCUCAACCGGGAGAGGUUGUCCGAUACUGCUGGACUUGAGGGCAGUAGAGGGUGGUGGAAUUCCCGGUGUAGUGGUGAAAUGCGUAGAUAUCGGGAGGAACACCAGUGGCGAAGGCGACUACCUGGCCUGUUUCUUGACGCUGAGGCGCGAAAGCGUGGGGAGCAAACAGG
rnacentral:rRNA from 1 species